UGUAUAUUUCAUGAAGGAUUUUUUUCACUUUGUUGCCUGAAAAUCCUCUAUAAUGUAGCAAGCUGUUUUUAUGGAUAAAGCUCGAGUCUAUUCCAUAACAAAUAACUUCCAAUAAUCCUUAUAUCUUACGGCCAAUUCACUAGACAACAUUAUGGCAUCAGCAACCGUUUGUCUGUUUGUUCGUCGCUUGAGAGGAAAAGGUAGCUGUUCCUAGUGCACAGCAGCUUUGUGACCGAAUGGAGAGUACACUUCUCUGUAAUUCUUAGGACGACAGGGAGUCAUGGCAUCAUUUGUCGUCCGCUACAAAAGCGCGGCGUGGAAGUUGGGUGGUCGUUGACAGACUGUCUAGCUGCCAGUACGAGCCGGCACUAAAAGCAGUCGAAGGCGCGCGCGCGCGCGCGCGCCACCAACUGCCACCCGAUCUACUAUUGCUGCUGUUAUUGUGUUUCUGCGAUGCUAGGAAUAUUGCAGACUUUGAUAGCAUUGGCAAGCAUUACCAAAAGUGCCUAACCUUCCGCUAACUUACACGUGUGUGUUGUCGCCAUGGUCUACGAACACCAGCCAUGGCAGAACGGCGACGAUAAUGGCAGCUGUAACUGCAAAUCCACUACGAAAACGUUCGGCUAGUUUUUUGCGUUAUUUUAAUUCUAACACUAUGCCGAUAUAUACACUGAGCAUACGUCGCCGCACCUGUACUCGUAACUACUACUUCUGACACUGUUUAGUAUUGACCAAUACUGCUACUAUUGUUAUUUCUAGCGCUACAUUGUACAUGACACAAAGGCUUUUCAAGUGACUAAUUUUGUUGUUUUUGUAGCACAACAUAGUACCUACGUGUUUGCUGUAUCAGUCUCAAUUUGAAAAACGUCAAUGUGUUCAGUUGUAGAGGCAUGGAUGAAAUCAAGCGUGUUAUGCUGUGGUGUAACUUAUCAUGGCAGGAGAUUUAUCUUUAUGUGUUUAUUUUUAUCAUUAUCUAGAUAUGAAGUAGUAUCAAGGCGUGUGAUCCUUAUAGAUAUCUGAUUUCGAAGACGUCUGCUCUCUACACAGACUUAGGCACAACUCCCCUUCGCCUUUGUCUCUUCUUGAAAGGUUUUAACCCAAAGUAGACAUCGUAAGCUUGGUUUGCGACACGUCGCUGACGGCACUGCCCCACACGGCUGGAAGCCAACGCCAAAUAAAGUGCAUUUAGUUCAGGCUUAGGACCCAGGCCACUGGUAUGGUCUGAUCUGAUCUAAGCUACUCAGUAGCUUGUCUUUGCAGCUGUUGUCAUCUAUGAAGUUUGUUGUGUAUCAGAUUGCCAAGCUAAUUCGUUAACAGCAACGCAGAUAGCAACGAUGUUAUCGAAAACAACAGCUUUAGUAUCAUUAAAACCAGCUAUUAAAGGUGAGAUUGACGCUAGGAAUCGAAACAACACAAGUGUUCGACAAAAUGUGUUCAAUGAUCGAACCAGAAGUGUCUUUAGUGGAAGCGUUUGACUCUCAUACUCCCCCCCAUGAUCAUUAUCAUCAUCGGUCAUGCCCAAAAACAUUUGGUGCUUUGGGAGUACUAAAGGGUAGAAGACGGAACAGCUGCUCACUGCAAGACGCUGGCAGAGGUGCGGGUUCUCACGAUGCUGAAGAAGGCGAAGUCCUGAUGCGGCCAACUGACAAAACGCCAUUAGUAGUCGACUCGGACGCCGAAGAAUGGACUUCGUCAGGAUCUUGCGUAGCAUACUAUUCGCCAACGCUUCACCUUCAACGGGUGGCUUGUACAGUUCUGUUCAUGAUGUGACCUGCGAGUGUGACGCUUAUGGCGCUGCUGCAAAACGAUGCAUGGAUAGCUUAGACGAAAAAGGAAGAGCAUCAAAGGAGCGUAGCGUACGGUCAGCGGUGAUGUCUUCAUUGUUUGUGGUGUCAUUAUGCUUCACUUUGGGCGGCGCCUUUUUGCUAUUCUUCAGUGAGAACAUUUUCACUGUUCUGUGGCCUUCGAUUGGGCUCGUCAUUAUUGGCUCAUCGUUGACCGUUCUUACCGUUAUGCCGGGUGCAGGCCGUUGGAUGGUUAAACAAAUUCAGUUUAUCAAGUCGUCGACUAAGAUGUGUUGGCGGAACAACUUAUGCAGGGAGUACGUUCGCGACUUUAAGAAAAAUACAGCAGAUAUCAUUCGAAUGGAAUCCAAUGAUGAAAGUUAAUAGAUCAUUCAUCGAACGUCUAAACAAGUGCAAUACAUCAUCCUUGAGGAAGCUACACUAUACGCAUAAAGCAUGCAGACCGAACGAUUUCCGUACGUGUACGUGUUGCAUAGUUUAAUAUUUCGUCAUCAUAGUGCCUUUACAUAACAACAAACUCUAAUUUAAUCUAGGUGGACGACGUAAGAUGACAUUGUUGUUGUUAUUACUGUUUUUAUAUGCUAUAUCUAAAGAGCAAUGAAGUCGUGCAUCCACGCAUCACUACAGGACUCUUAAAUUCAGUUUGACACAUUAAAACGGUCGUGGCGGUUGCUUAUUUUUGCCAGUACUAACGAAAUUUGUAAAAUUUUAAGCUGAAGUUUUCAUUUUCAGUGCUAUAAGAACAGUUAUGUUUUAGCCAUUGCAGAGAAAUACACAAUCGUGGCUAAAAAGUGUGCACUGUCUCAUAAAGAAGAAAAAAAAGCGAAGUUCCGUUGCGAUCCUUAUCUUGAGCAUGUAAUGAAAGUUGUACAAAAGUUGGUACCUUUUGUACUUUUUUGUGGACUAAGUGUCAAUUGCGAAACCCAUGUAUAUAUUAAACCCGUCUUAUUGGGCAGCCUGAACAUUAUUUCGUGAAUGGACAAUGCCGGGUGAUGCCGUUACCUGUAAAUAAAAUCUCACUUAGAAUAAGAUAUUUCUGUACGAAUUAUAUGGGUAUUUUUUCUUCUUAAAAAUUCCUACGUAGGACGUUUAACGGUGUCUUCAAAAGCUUCAGAUUUGGCCCGGACACUUCGGCUUAGGUUUACCUGGUUGAAGUCAUGCCGUUGCCAUUAGCGUUAAUUUAUUACCUUGUUGCAUUAGCAGAUUCAUGUUCACCUGGCUUAAUAAUCCGAAUUUUAAGGAACACACUAAGGAUCUUAUUUUGAAAUCGAUGAAAACUGGCUAUUGUUCCCAUUUGAACAAGAUAAUAUAAUGUGCUUAGUGGUAGAUGCGAUUAGAUACACUCACUAUGCGAGCAUAACAACAAGGAAGCAAUUCUUUUUAAAAAGUAAUAAAAUUUAUUCUUUUAUUGUUGUUGAUUCACAUCUAACAAUAAUUGCUGUGUAUUUGAAAAUGAUUAUACUUACUACACAAUCCAAAGUAUAGACGUAUGCGUGUGAGUGUGAGAAUGUACCUAUCCGUAGUCAAGCCGACCGAACUGGGGACUAAAUGAAACUUUCCCAUGCGUUUGAACAUCCCAACCCUUCCUUCCUUUAGCUGAUAAAAACUCCCGAGUAAAAACACUAUCCCCUGUUUCAUAUGGUAAGAACGUAAUUUUGAUAGUUUUUAGUAUCGUGUGAACAUAUCCUAUAGAUAUUAGUUUACUAGUCAUCCGUCUAGACAAUUAAUAUGUGCAGGCUUAAAAACGUCGUUUAAAUUUCUUUUUAUUUCACAGUCUCUAGGUUUGUCGUUUGUUGAUGUUGUUGCUAUUCGAUAUAGUUAUCUUCAUUUUCGUAAUCAUUAGCGUCAUCCUCAGUAAUUUAUAACGUUGAUUCAGUGCUGUUAUGUCGGUUUUAUACCUCCCCAUCAUUGGGCCUCAUAUACAGUUACACAGAUGUGGACGUGUGUUGCUGUUAUAUUCUUUUUCGUUUAUCUUCGUCAUCGUAGCAAAUAGACAAGGAAACGUCAUAUAUAUGUAUAUAUGGGUGGUUUUGUGUGUGUGGGAAAUAUCGAAGCACACUGGAUUAGGAGUCGACUGGCCGGCAUAGAGAAAUCAAAUCUUGUCAUAAUGUGUGAAGCUAGAUCCCUAAUAUUAUAGUUAUGUUACCUCCUAAAGCGCGAUUCAUAUAUGCUACAUAUCCGGAAGAGACAACACAAAAUCCUCAAGCCUAACCAGUCAACCUUAUCUUCAUGCCUUUGUUAAGGAAAUUUUCUUAUGUAUACUUAAGUAAUCAUGUAAAUGUAUUUAUUCAUACUUAUUUUUUGCCAUAUCGUUCUUCUUAUUGUUGCGGUUGUAUAUAUAUAUAUAUAUAUAUAUAUUAUAUAUAUAUAUAUAUAUAUAUAUAUAUAUAUAUUAGCAGCGUCGCAGUGCAUUGCCCACGAUUUGCCAUCGACAUUUUCCAGUUACUGACGUCAUUACUUUAUUGACAUCCUUUUGCUCAUCCUCCACGCCUGUUUCUAUUUGUCAACUUCAACGCUCUUCGACCUCUUUCUCCUGCUGCGCUGCUAUCCCCAUUCCUUUUUCAUUAUCACCGUCGCCAACGAUCUUUCCGCAAAUUCAGUUGAUGGCCUUGUUCGUGUAAAACGAACUUUGCUCUGCUCAGCCUCAUCGUUUUAUCCAUCGAAUAGCUUUGUUUCUCAUUGCGCUCUCCGCACCGUCAUUAUAUUCAUCUCAUGUAUUAUUAUUGUCAUUAUCAAUUUCAUAUCUUAAUAAAAAUUAACAUUCUAUGUGACAUAGUGGGCGGGUGGGGUCACGUAGAAAAGAGACGCGAUGCGUUUAUGGCGACGGCAAACGUUAGUAUAAACAUAUGGGCCGAUCAUCAAUUCAUUGUCGAUCAAGUGGAAAAACUGCGAGUCGCGGAAAGCACCGCGAAGGGGGUGGAGGUACUCAGUUUUACUAAGUAGGUGGAGGACCACAUUUACACGGCCUGCGGUCUACCAAAUAAACCAACCGCAUCAGCAUAGUACAUAGGAAUAAGAAUAAUAACAUAUAUCAUUAUAAUAACUAUAAUGACUUAUUUAUUUAUAAUAUAUAGACGUAAGUUUUAUAUCAAUAAAAUUUUCUAGUAAACCUAAAUGACUCCGCUCAGGAUGUCUCCGCGUCACGCGAUCACAUUACUAUUACAUCAUCAUUGUUGUUGUUGUUGUUGUUGUUGUUGUUGUAGCUGUAGUUGUUGUUUGCACUUGAUUGUGCCUCAACGUUGUUCGGUCAUCAGCCUUGCGAUAUUCUCCCUCGUCUUCUCUAAGUCAUGUCAACAAUCUUUGCGGCCUACGACUGCGCAGGUCUUUACUCAACAUGUCUCUGUCUCAUUAGGCGUGUGUCGCCAGCCAGCGUAACAAAUUACGGUUACCAGUCAGACAAAUCAAUCAACGUAAUGUGCAUAUUCAUCUAACAGGACAACAGUGAGAGCAACCAACCUCCAGUUCACUUAAUGACCCCGCCCCACUGCCGUCCACUUACCAGAAACGGAAUCUUCUUAAUACCUAACAUUCUUUUUUGCAGCAUGUCAUCAUCACCGUGGUGAUGAUAACUAUCAUACUGCACCUUCUUCAUAUCAACUGCAUCUUCUUCGCCCUUAAUCAAGCGCACAAACGUUACUCACUUCUGCUAGUAGUAGAUCGCCGUCAUCACUUGCCGUGGUGAUCGUCAGUAACCGCCGUCCUUUUUUCCACCCCUCUUCGCCAUAAUAUUCUCUCAUUGUAGCUGUAAUAAUUUGUGUGAUCGUUCACCUGUUUUCGGCUGCUUCAGGUAUUCGCCAACAUGCUCAACUGAUCCUAUUCUCAUGAUGUAAUUAUGUCACUCAUGGUCGUAGCUGUUGUGAUAGUUCAUCUUCUACUUCGCUGCAUGCCAGCUACGGUUUCGCUUAGCUUCGUUCCAUCGUAACCAGCCGAAUAUCAUACUCAUUAGUAAUAUCAGCAGCAGCAGCUUGCCAUCCCCAUCAUUAGCAUUUUCAAUCGUAUCGACAUAAGAGGUAAGACAUAGGAAUAAUUUAUUACAUUUAUAUUGAGGUGUCCCUCUAUUUUAUAUUCUUAGCUGUGUUCAUUCAUUGACUUUUUUCUUUCCAGAUAGCAGAUGAACAAAAGUCAGGUGGACGACGUUUGCCAAUUUUCCAAUAUAUGUGUGAUCUUCCGCCAAACCGUUGUGUGUAGUCACAUACUUCCGUGUUUUUUUUUUGCCAAGAAUCUACUGCCUCUAUAAAGGUUCCGUACUUCUAUUAUCAUUGCUUCUAUUUAAAGCAAAGUAACUCUGUGUUAGUAAUCAUAGCCAUAAACACUAGUAAUCGUAUAAAUUUUAUAGUAUGGUUCUUUGUGUCAUGUAUGUAAGUGUCUGUUCAAUGUAGAACUUAUUGUUAUAUUCACGAUAAGAGAAUUUACUUGUUUAUUAGCUUCUUGUCGGUUUGCUCAAAUAUGGUAUCUUUUGAAUAUCCCGCCCAUGCCGCCAAAACGCGGAGCUCUGUGCGCGAUUGGACAGGUAUAUACAACUGAUUAAAAAGAUAUCAGUAAAUCUAAUAAAUUCAAAAUACCUGCGAAAAAGGUAUGCUCUUAUCCGAACAUAUUCUAUAAGGUGAAAAGCGACACCUGGGUGGGACGCGUAAAAACGCCUGUCAAAAUAAAAAAAUUUACAUUCAUGACUAGGUUACCAGCUAGUCGUAAUAUGGAAAAACUUUCCCUUACUAAUGCCAUCAUACGAAUAUCAAUAGGGGAGACCGAAAACGUUUUAAGCAUGACAGGAUUUUUUAGGAUACGUCACCUCUAUCGGUGUCUAUAAUUUCUUGAAUCAGAUAAGACCCAAAAAUAAACAAAAUUUUUUCUAGACUUUAUUUACGUCAUAACUUGAUAGAAAUAGGUAGUUCCAGAAAAAUAUAUUUCCUAAAUAGAGAAGCUUAUUAUUUCUUAAUUGCGUAUAAAACGUGAGCGUGAACAUAAUUAUAUACUCAAAAUAACGAAAGCUGUUUUUUCCAUUUAUAUAUGAAAAUAAUUUAAUUGAAACGGCUAAAAUAGCUAGCUCUUAUGACCCUCGAUACUAAAAUUUUCAUUUUAUACCUUAACUGUUGUUAUCAUUAUUGUCGUUGGUGAGCACUAUGAAGUUCUGGUUGGAACAACGGCGUCUUGUGGGCACCACGAGGACAGAAGACAAGACAACAAAUCAGUAGUAAAAAUCACAUUCAGCCGAAAUAGAAGCAUUCGGCCUCAGUUCAAUCUAUAUUAUGUCUAGUAAUACAAAUUAUAGGCGGGCAGCCUGAAACCGCUCACACUACCAGCAGUUUAUCGAUUCCACAAGGACGUCCGGCGUCCAUUAGAGCUUACUUAUUCUAUAUUCAAGCUCCGUUACAUAUUUCUGAUGAACUCGUCGGUUUGUCUGAGCUUCGUGUAAUAAUCGUGGUACAUGUUUUCAGUUUGUUGUUGUAAUGGAACUGUUCUUUUAUUUCAGGAAGAAUGA